UGGGAACGCGAAGAACCUUACCUAGACUUGACAUCUCCUGAAUUACCCUUAAUCGGGGAAGCCCUUCGGAGCAGGAAGACAGGUGGUGCAUGGUUGUCGUCAGCUCGUGUCGUGAGAUGUUGGGUUAAGUCCCGCAACGAGCGUAACCCUUAUUGUUAGUUGCUACCAUUUAGUUGAGCACUCUAGCGAGACUGCCCGGGUUAACCGGGAGGAAGGUGGGGAUGACGUCAAAUCAUCAUGCCCCUUAUGUCUAGGGCUACACACGUGCUACAAUGGCUGGUACAGAGAGAUGCUAAACCGUGAGGUGGAGCCAAAACUUUAAAACCAGUCUCAGUUCGGAUUGUAGGCUGAAACUCGCCUACAUGAAGCUGGAGUUGCUAGUAAUCGCGAAUCAGAAUGUCGCGGUGAAUACGUUCCCGGGUCUUGUACACACCG
rnacentral:rRNA from 1 species